CGAUGAAGUCUGCUUGGUUUUUGUUUCAAACGUGUCGUGUGGGAAAAAUGAAAGAAAAUUCAUCACCACGGCUUACAUCUUUCAAGCCCAAUUAUCAGCACGCGUGGGUAGCUGUGCCCUCAGCACAAAUGUAAAUGAAAAUUUUGAAUCAUUCCUCCCUGAGCUGAAACUACACCCCACUUCAAGUAACGAGAAUUCAAAUGCAACAGCAGCAGCAGCAGCAGCAAGAAUAUGGCGCAUAGGCUGGAGCUUUAUGCACACGCUUUGAAAGUAGCUGUAGAAAGUGAUAUAUAUUCGGCCGUUUCGGUUUGGCACAUCACCAUGCUGUCAUGGUCGACACCAAGACUUUCACGUCGGCCGGCUAUGACGAAGUGCGCCAGGCGAUCGUACAACUCCGAUUGCAAUAGGCCAUAUUUGGUUGACAACGACGAAUGGUUGUCGGACUGGGCACGUUUCGAUUUGCCAAGAUAGACAUUUCGGAGCUUCCACGCCAAGAAGUCAUUCUAAUUUUUCAGACCGUAUACCCAAACGGUCCUUCAUCGUUUAUUGUUAUUUAUAUUUCACAUUCUUCUUAUAAACAAGACAAAAGAUAACAAAUGUAUUUUUUUCCCUAUCUCUCCCAUAGAUAAAGAGAAAAAAAAAAAAAAAGAGUUCGCAUUUUGCUCCAUCACGCCCUAGUCAAGUAUAAAAGACGAGUUGAUUGAGGCAUGGGCCGAAGCGGACGUCGUCGCACGUAAAUCGGUCCUUCUCCAACAUGACCCGAGGUAAGAAAGUGGUACGUAUAUUAUGUAUAACCAAGACAACUCGCUACAAAAAAAAAAUGUGGAAUGGAAUAUGUACAAAAUAUUUUUUAAAAAAAAGCAGGACUUUAGCAGCGCCAGCAGGAAGUAGUUGUGUCGGAGGCGUCGAAGGUUUCUUUCUCUCAGGGUCUGAUGAUCACC